AGGGCUGUAGCUCAGUGGUAGAGAAUCUGUUUUGCAUGCAGGAGGCAUAAGGUUCAAUACCCGACAUCUCUA